GAGACAAGGCAAUUCGGUUGGCACAACCCCAUCUUUCUUUUCCCCUCAUCUUUUUGAAGCAAAACCUCCUCCUUUGCUAUCAAUAAUGGACAUUUUCGACCAUCAUUAUAACAGAAAAUAAGGCUAGUAACCCUCAGUUUUUGCGGCAAAACUCACCACAAAUGCCUCCUUCAAAAGACGAUUUGAACAAGAGUUUCAUAGAGUUGGGUUCCAUCAACAAACGACAAGAGAAAACAGUACGAUAUUUUGAAGAAACAACGAUAAGGUUGGUGAUCGCUUAUGUUUUCACCCAAACCCUCAUAUAUUUUUCCAUUUCCCUGCAAAACCCAGCUAGCAGCAUCUCCUGCCAACAUUGGUGGAUCCCAUUCUGCCUCUCCUCUCUGAUUGCUGUGCUCUUUGGCAUAGGCUUUAAAAGAUUCGUCACUAAAUGGGAGCGUACGUCGUAUCAUUAUGACAUGAACUUCUUGGAGAGAGAAUUGAUUUACCAUAGAAUUGUGCUGCUCCAGGAAUCACAAGGUCGCUCUUCUGAUCAAGCCACCACAUAUGAUGAGGAGCAGCCAAAGGUAUUGCAGUGCGAUAUGGUGAGGGUUUAUCAGAGAAACGCAAGUAUUUACCUGAUUUCUUUAAGCCUUCUGGCCUAUACGGUUCUGAUCUUAAAGGCUUGCCAAUCCAUUCACUGUCAUCGCUGAUAGCGCAAUCGAAUCAAGUCACACAGGUUUGAGGGUGCUAUAAAUACACCCUCCCCCGUGAGGCAUGGCAGUGCACGUCUAACUGAUCUUCAAGGAGUAUCUGCUGAGAAGUUGCUUCUGAAAAAGAAGAUGCGGAAAAGAUGUUGUGGAGAAGUUCACAUAUGGUGCUUGUGAAUAUUAUGCUAAAACCUUUCUUCAAAACUAGGAAUUAAUAUUAGUAAUUUUUUGAAGAGGACGACUUCAACCUCCUCCGUAACGUUGUCUACCUGUCCUCCAUAUUUCUAUGUUUUUUUUUUUUUUCAUUUGCAUCUUAUUUAUAUGCUUUCUUAAGUUGAUAUAUGGUGUUGUGUACGUGUAUAUAAGGGGAUACUCUAUAUUUAUACAAAUAUGUCCCUUUGAACAUAUCUUUUGAAGAGAAGAAAUCUUUGAUUUGUGCA